UACGGAGGUGGCAAGCGUUGUUCGGAUUCAUUGGGUGUAAAGGGUAUGUAGGUGUCCCUACAAGUCCUUCUUUAAAUACUCUGGCUCAACCAGAGAACUGGGGAGGAAACUGUAGGGAUUGAGUACUGGAGAGGAAAGCGGAAUUCCCGGUGUAAGGGUGAAAUCUGUAGAUAUCGGGAGGAACACCAGUGGCGAAAGCGGCUUUCUGGCCAGAUACUGACACUGAAAUACGAAAGCAAGGGGAG
rnacentral:rRNA from 1 species